rnacentral:rRNA from 1 species
UACGUAGGGGGCAAGCGUUGUCCGGAUUCAUUGGGCGUAAAGAGCUCGUAGGCGGUUCAGUAAGUCGGGUGUGAAAUCUCCGUGCUCAACACGGAGCGGCCACCUGAUACUGCUGUGACUCGAGUCCGGUAGGGGAGUGUGGAAUUCCCGGUGUAGUGGUGAAAUGCGUAGAUAUCGGGAGGAACACCAGUGGCGAAGGCGACUACCUGGCCUGUUCUUGACGCUGAGGCGCGAAAGCUAGGGGAGCAAACAGG